GAGGCGAGCUGAUCAGCACGCCGCGUGGGUGAUGAAGGCCUUCGGGUUGUAAAGCCCUGUUCGUGUGGGAAGAUCGUGACGGGGGUUAAUACACUUUUGGAGGGAAGGAUACCUUGCCCAAGGAACCCCCGCGUAAUAAUCUCCGUUGCCAGCACCCGACGGGAUAAUA
rnacentral:rRNA from 1 species